rnacentral:lncRNA from 1 species
UAAGGAAGAUGCAACAGCAAGAAGAGGCUGAAGAGGAUCAAGCCACCAUUUCACAAAUCUUAAAGAAGAACAAGACUGGUCAUAAGUCCAAAAGACCAACAAUGUCUUCAAUCGUAGAGACCCUGCUGUUCUCUGAAACCGGGCCAAGUGUGGCAGAAAUGGAAGAAGCUGCUUCAAGGAUAGUGGCUGAUCAACGUGGCAAAACAAAG